CACCAGCGCCACAAGUCGGAAUCACUAUUAUUGGGUUUAAAGCGUUCGUAGCCGGUUUAGAAAAUCUCUUGUGAAAUCGUUGCUUUUAACGUAACGGCGUGCAGGAGACACUACUAGACUAGGAAUCGGGAGGGGUCAGGAGUAUGCCGGGGGGAGCGGUAAAAUGUUAUAAUCCUCGGUGGACUACCUUUGGCGAAGGCGCCUGACUAGAACGAGUUCGACGGUGAGGAACGAAAGCUGGGGGAGCGAUCCGG
rnacentral:rRNA from 1 species